UUAAUCGUUGAGUUUUUAAGG
rnacentral:piRNA from 1 species